CAAUAUUCUAUGAUAGGAAGUAAGUAAGUUUAAAAGCAGGUUUAAAGAGAGUUGUAGAUGGUGGAAUUACAAUAAUUAUGAUUAAACUGAAUGGGUCCUGGAGAUUCAAGAUGAAAUAUAAGUAGUUUAGACGGAAGUCUCGCGUUAUAGAGACAGGAUAUAAUAUUUGUAUCUAGAUAAGGAGAAGACUUAAUAUCUUCUUAAAUUUAGGUGGUACCGCGCUAAUACGCCCUAUAG
rnacentral:ncRNA from 1 species